CCCUGUAUUCGAAAGUGAUCAUGGGCUGCCCGUGCCCUGGUCAUUGAUAGUGCAGGGAGAGGAGUCAAUGAAAGCGCUUCCCCGUGUUUGGAGGGUCCACUCCUGUCCCUUGCAAACUCUGGAGCUUUCGUACA
rnacentral:snoRNA from 1 species